UAGGGAAUCUUCGGCAAUGGACGGAAGUCUGACCGAGCAACGCCGCGUGAGUGAAGAAGGUUUUCGGAUCGUAAAGCUCUGUUGUUAGAGAAGAACGUUGGCAGGAGUGGAAAAUCUACCAAGUGACGGUAACUAACCAGAAAGGGACGGCUAACUACGUGCCAGCAGCCGCGGUAAUACGUAGGUCCCGAGCGUUGUCCGGAUUUAUUGGGCGUAAAGCGAGCGCAGGCGGUUCUUUAAGUCUGAAGUUAAAGGCAGUGGCUUAACCAUUGUACGCUUUGGAAACUGGAGGACUUGAGUGCAGAAGGGGAGAGUGGAAUUCCAUGUGUAGCGGUGAAAUGCGUAGAUAUAUGGAGGAACACCGGUGGCGAAAGCGGCUCUCUGGUCUGUAACUGACGCUGAGGCUCGAAAGCGUGGGGAGCAAACAGG
rnacentral:rRNA from 1 species